rfam:Citrobacter koseri ATCC BAA-895, complete genome.
GAAAGCACGACAUUGCUCACAUUGCUUCCAGUAUGAUUUUGCCCGCACUCUGUUGCGGGCUUUUUUU